GAUGAAAAAGAUAAUUAUGCUUUAAUUAUCUAAUUAUCUUAAGUUUAAAAAAAUUAAAGAUAAACACUUCACCAACCUUCUCUCUCUUUGUUCGGUCACCACCAAGAACCAAAGAAACCAAAAUCUUUCCUCUCAAUUUUAGACAAGAAAACCAUGGAUUUCAAUUAAGAUUUUGGUAGAUUAAGUGUGGGAUAGCUCAAGGUCGACGAAGAUAGUGGUUGUUUGUGGUUCCCAUGGCGGUUUGGGGUUUCAAGAGGUUUGUGGCUGUUUGGGGUUGACGACAAUUACAUUUUCAAGGCGAUUUGUGGUCGACAAUGCUUCUUGUACUCUUGGUUGCCAUUGAAGAGGCUGAAAAUAUUUGGCGGACCCACAUUGUAGCGACUGCCCCCCCUGAAAAAAAAAAUCGAGAAAAAAAUGUAUAUGUAUUUUAAUUAGCUACAACAUAUAUUUGUAUUAAAAGAUGAUAUUUAUAGACAUAAUAGUAACCUUGGUGUAA